rnacentral:rRNA from 1 species
UACGUAGGGUGCGAGCGUUAAUCGGAAUUACUGGGCGUAAAGCGUGCGCAGGCGGUGAUGUAAGACAGGUGUGAAAUCCCCGGGCUUAACCUGGGAACUGCAUUUGUGACUGCAUCGCUGGAGUGCGGCAGAGGGGGAUGGAAUUCCGCGUGUAGCAGUGAAAUGCGUAGAUAUGCGGAGGAACACCGAUGGCGAAGGCAGCCCCCUGGGCUAACACUGACGCUCAGGCACGAAAGCGUGGGGAGCAAACAGG